GGAGGCCCUAAAGCAAUAAUAUGUUUUUCUUUAAAUAAAUAAUUUUCUCACAGUUUAAAGAAAUGAUUGGCUUAGAACACAUCAUUAUACUGUAGAGAAUGACCAAAAAUGCUAAGAAAGGUCUUUCUGAGAGCAAUCCACUAGUGAAGACACUGAAAGAAUUAAGGAGCUUGUUUCUCUCCUUUGAUGAGAGUGUAAUUUAGUCUUAAAUUCUCACCAAACCCCACUGCCAUGGUUACAGAACUCGGGAUAGAUACUCUGUCUCCCUCACAACCAGCCUCCCUCACCCACAUUUCCCACUACGUAGUUCAUGCUCCACCGUCUUGCUCUGACUCUAUGAAUCUCUCUUCACACCCAAGAGGUGACUCAUUUUGGUGGGAAGUGAACAAGAAGAUGCCCGUGGUUUGAAAAUGUUCACAUCAGAGUGUUAAAUGAAUGCAGGAGAUGAUACUUAAAAUACCUGUCACAACUCAGGUAGCAUCUGCUUCAAUAACACAAACAAUCCAAUAUUUUCUCGUCUCAUCAUUCACGGCUCUUUGAGAGAAAACAGAGAGCAGAAUGAGAGACUAUGGAAGCCAAAUAAACACAUUGUGGUUCCGACAAGGGGGACAGACCAGGCUAUUUUAAAACCUAAAAAAUAAAAUCACCUCACUUGCCUGUGUGUAGUGCACAUAUUUUGACAAACUUUCAAAGCCUGCGUUUUUGUGAAUUAACACAGUUGUCCAAAUAUCGGUUGAUUUCAAGUGAUAAUGAUAGCAGUGAGAGUGACGAUAGCAUAACUGCUCUGCUAUACAUGAGCUACGUGUGAAAAAAUUACACAUUUACACACACAUACAGAAUAUAUGCAAACUUUAUAACUGAUCAGACAGGACUUCUUAAUUUGUAUCAUUAGAACAACCAUAUGCUUUGUGUUAGAGACCAUUCCAUGCCUUUGAAGAAGUUAAAAUAGAUAAAAAGC
rnacentral:lncRNA from 1 species